GAUGAACGCUGGCGGCGUGCCUAAUACAUGCAAGUCGAGCGAACGGACGAGAAGCUUGCUUCUCUGAUGUUAGCGGCGGACGGGUGAGUAACACGUGGAUCACCUACCUAUAAGACUGGGAUAACUUCGGGAAACCGGAGCUAAUACCGGAUAAUAUUUUGAACCGCAUGGUUCAAAAGUGAAAGACGGUCUUGCUGUCACUUAUAGAUGGAUCCGCGCUGCAUUAGCUAGUUGGUAAGGUAACGGCUUACCAAGGCAACGAUGCAUAGCCGACCUGAGAGGGUGAUAGGCCACACUGGAACGGAGACACGGUCCAGACUCCUACGGGACGCAGCAGUAGGGAAUCUUCCGCAAUGGGCGAAAGCCUGACGGAGCAACGCCGCGUGAGUGAUGAAGGUCUUCGGAUCGUAAAACUCUGUUAUUAGGGAAGAACAUAUGUGUAAGUAACUGUGCACAUCUUGACGGUACCUAAUCAGAAAGCCACGGCUAACUACGUG
rnacentral:rRNA from 1 species